rnacentral:rRNA from 1 species
GAUAAACGCUGGCGGCGUGCAUGAGACAUGCAAGUCGAACGGACGAUCAGGGCUUGCUCUGAUCGUUAGUGGCGGACAGCUGAGUAACGCGUAGGUGACCUGCCUCGAAGUGGGGGAUAACUGCCCGAAAGGGUGGCUAAUACCGCAUGUGGUGGUUCGUUCAGUCGAACCAUCAAAGCAGUAAUGCGCUUCGAGAGGGGCCUGCGUCCGAUUAGCNCGUUGGUGGGUAACGGCUCACCAAGGCGACGAUCGGUAGGUGGUCUGAGAGGACGAUCACCCAGACUGGGACUGAGACACGGCCCAGACUCCUACGGGAGGCAGCAGUCGGGAAUUUUGCGCAAUAGGCGAAAGCCUGACGCAGCAACGCCGCGUGAGGGAUGAAGGCCUUCGGUU